UACGGGGGGGGCAAGCGUUGUUCGGAAUUACUGGGCGUAAAGGGCUCGUAGGCGGCCAACUAAGUCAGACGUGAAAUCCCUCGGCUUAACCGGGGAAUGGCGUCUGAUACUGGAUGGCUUGAAUUCGGGAGAGGGAUGCAGAAUUCCAGGUGUAGCGGUGAAAUGCGUAGAUAUCUGGAGGAAUACCGGUGGCGAAGGCGGCAUCCUGGACCGACAUUGACGCUGAGGAGCGAAAGCUAGGGGAGCAAACGGG
rnacentral:rRNA from 1 species